rnacentral:RNase_P_RNA from 1 species
GAGGAAAGUCCGGGCUCCACAGAGAAACGGUGCCGGAUAACGUCCGGCGGGGGCGACCCUAGGGAAAGCGCCACAGAAAACAGACCGCCAUCCGGCUUGCGCCGGAGGUAAGGGUGAAACGGUGCGGUAAGAGCGCACCGCGCGCAUGGCGACAUGAGCGGCACGGCAAGCCCCACCGGGAGCAAAACCGAAUAGGGGCGACGCGGGGCGCAGGCCCCAGAUCCUUCUCUGGAUCGUCGCCCGGGUUGGUUGCUCGAGGCGGCCGGUAACGGCCGUCCCAGAGGAAUGGCCAUCGCGCGCCGCGGACUCCGCGGCGCCUUACAGAACCCGGCUUA